GUAAACAAUUUUACCUUAGCUGAGGUAGGCAUUUGCUUUGCAUCUUCUCCUCUCUGAGGUUCUGUCGUACUCAUAAAGACGUUUAAGACUAAGAAGAAUGUCAGGCGUUCAUCCACAACAAGCCAAGAAUGUCCCAAUGAUGGUACAACCAGUUCCCGUUCAAAUGGUUCCCUCCAUGGCUCCAUACCAGCCUGGUAUGAUGCAGUAUGCUAUGGCUCCUCCUGUUGUUCACUUACAGUCUGAAUUUGUUCCUAACGAUUACUUCAUUCCUACACUAGUUAUUGCUAUUGUCUGUCCUAUUAUGAGCUUCACUACAAUCUUCUUCACUGUUGCUGCCAUAAUCUGUUCAAUACUGGUAAGCACACA